AUGGCUUUGGCAGAAUACGGAACUCAUCCCCUUAGAGGCGGUGCCAUUGCAUCAGCUGGAAGUUUUGGUCUUUGUAUCCGGCCUCCAAAUAGUCAUGAGGAACGAGAGGGCCAUCUCUCUCAUUGGGAACUACUUAGGGAUCUUCGGGCAAGCAAAUUCGACUGCAAUGCGGAGGAAAGAUAUGGUCUAGAAGGGUAUUCUUCCCCUGAUUUCAAAUCUUCAAAGUUUGAAUCUUUUAUAAUCGAGGAAUAGGGCAUUGUCAAAGGGGUGAUUUACAAGAACAAGGCUGGAGAGGAGAUGAGAACAUAUGCUCCACUGACAAUCGUGUGUGCUGGCUGCUUUUCAAAUUCACGCAAGUCUCUCAGUGCACCAAAGAUCAAUAUGGUUAUUUGUUACUGUUGCAGAUGUGGCUUGGAGAACUGUGACCUUCCACACGCAAAUCAUGGACAUGUUAUUUUGGGAGCCCUUCACCCAUCCUGUUUUAUCCCAUCAGUAGCACCGAGGUUCGUUGUUUGGUGGAUGUACCUGGAACAAAAGUGUCAUCAGUAGCUAGUGGUGAGAUGGCAAAAUAUCUGAAAACUGUUGUGGCUCCUCAGUUACCUAAACAGCUGCACAAUGCUUUUAUGGCCACAGUAGAGAAGGGAAACAUCAAGACAAUGCAAAACAAAAGCAUGGCUGCUAAUCCUGUCCCUACUCCUGGUGCAAUUUUACUAGGGGACGCAUUCAACAUGAGACAUCCUUUAACAGGAGGAUAUUGUUCUUCUCCGUGAUCUGCUUAGACCCCUACAUGAUCUCAAUGAUGCACCUGCUUUGUGCAAUUACCUUGAGUCAUUCUACUCACUCCGCAAGCCUGUGUCAUUUACCAUAAACACAUUGGCGGGUGCUUUGUACAAGGUGUUUUGUCAUCACCAGAUUCGGCAAGACAGGAAAUGCGUGAAGCUGGAUGGUGGGUUGAUAGGAUAAGGUGGUGAACCCACUGUUCAAGACGCGUCUGAGACAGUCUGGGUAACAAGUUUUCUCUUAGCAGUUACUUUCUCUUGGUAAUUCCAGUGUCUGGGUAAGUCUAAUAAUCCACAUGGGCAUGACAAAGAGUUGUCUUAAGGCUCAGUCCCUUAUUGUCUUAUUAAGGCCCAACCCAACCUGAUUUUCACCCCCUAGUACAUUCCUUAAGCCACCCUACCUGAGGGUGAGUUGGUUUAUUACCAAUUCACCCUCUCCCUCAGGCCCUAUAAAUAAUGCCUUAAUGCUGCAGCAGCCAUAAGGAAAUCAAUUUGGGGACUGCUUAGGGUUUUAAUAUUUGGGAGAUUUGGGAAAGGUGAGAAAGAUGCCUGGUGGUGAGCAUGAUCUGGCCAGUUCCAAGGUGAAGGCAAGACAGUCUCAGAUGGAGAUAAAGAAUUGCAUAGAGCUGCAGAGGCUGAUUCUUAAGGAGGCACAGAAGCCAAGGGUUCCAACCGAGCGCCAGCAAGAGAAGGCCAGAAAGAAGGAUAAGAAGAAGAAGCAGAAGGGGGGUCGGAGAUUCAAGGGUUUAGAAUAAUCGGAUUUAGUACUUUUCUGGGUUUAGUUCUUUCGUUUACU